UCCCUGUUGGCUCAGAGGGUAAAGAAUCUGCCUGCAAUGCAGGAAACCCAGGUUCAAUCCCUGGGUCAGGAA
rnacentral:tRNA from 1 species